GGAACAUAUGCCGGCAAGUCGCCCCAGCAACACUCAGUUGCACCACAUGAUAUCAGAGCGCAGAAGGCGUGAAAAGAUCAAUGAAACCUUCGAAGCAUUGAGAAAACUUCUCCCUCCAGAUGCCAAGAAGGACAAAGCGUCAGUGCUUACUAGAACAAGGGAAUACUUAACAUCUCUGAAUGCUCAAGUCGAGGAGCUUAGAAAGAGAAAC
rnacentral:misc_RNA from 1 species